AGCGAACGUUUGCGGCGGGCUUAACACAUGCAAGUCGAACGAGAAUCCCUUCGGGGAGGAAAGUGGCGCACGGGUGCGUAACACGUGGAUAACCAACCCAUUGGUUUGGGACAACACCGGGAAACUGGUGCUAAUACCAGAUGUGUCGCAGCUGUCUUCAGGCGGUUGCGAGAAAGGCCCGCAAGGGUCGCCAACGGACGGGUCCGCGUCCCAUCAGCUAGUUGGUGAGGUAAUGGCUCACCAAGGCAAAGACGGGUAGCUGGUCUGAGAGGAUGAUCAGCCACACUGGAACUGAGACACGGUCCAGACUCCUACGGGAGGCAGCAGUGGGGAAUAUUGCGCAAUGGGCGAAAGCCUGACGCAGCCACGCCGCGUGAGCGAUGAAGGUCUUCGGAUCGUAAAGCUCUGUGGAGAGGGACGAAAACCCUGGUUUCAAAUAGGCUCCAGGCUUGACGGUACCUCUUUAGCAAGCACCGGCUAACUCUGUGCCAGCAGCCGACGG
rnacentral:rRNA from 1 species